rnacentral:tRNA from 1 species
UUUCUGGUGGUCCAGUGGUGAAGACUCUACACUCUCAUUUCAGGUGACCCAGGUUUGAUCCCUGGCCAGAGAA